CAACAGGUGUAUAACAGGAUACAACAGGUGUAUAACAGUACAGGAUACAACAGGUGUAUAACAGUACAGGAUACAACAGGUGUAUAACAGGAUACAACAGGUGUAUAACAGGAUACCAACAGGUGUAUAACAGUAUACAACAGGUGUAUAACAGGAUACAACAGGUGUAUAACAGUACAGGACACAACAGGUGUAUAACAGGAUACAACAGGAGUAUAACAGUACAGGAUACAACAGGUGUAUAACAGUACAGGAUACAACAGGUGUAUAACAGGAUACAACAGGUGUAUAACAGGAUACAACAGGUGUAUAACAGUACAGGAUACAACAGGUGUAUAACAGGAUACAACAGGUGUAUAACAGGAUACCAACAGGUGUAUAACAGGAUACAACAGGUGUAUAACAGGAUACAACAGGUGUAUAACAG
rnacentral:lncRNA from 1 species